rnacentral:rRNA from 1 species
ACCCGCACAAGCGGUGGAUGAUGUGGAUUAAUUCGAUGCAACGCGAAAAACCUUACCUACCCUUGACAUGUCAGGAAUCCCGAUGAGAGUUGGGAGUGCUCGAAAGAGAGCCUGAACACAGGUGCUGCAUGGCUGUCGUCAGCUCGUGUCGUGAGAUGUUGGGUUAAGUCCCGCAACGAGCGCAACCCUUGUCAUUAGUUGCCAUCAUUUAGUUGGGCACUCUAAUGAGACUGCCGGUGACAAACCGGAGGAAGGUGGGGAUGACGUCAAGUCCUCAUGGCCCUUAUGGGUAGGGCUUCACACGUCAUACAAUGGUCGGUACAGAGGGUUGCCAAGCCGCGAGGUGGAGCCAAUCCCAGAAAGCCGAUCGUAGUCCGGAUCGGAGUCUGCAACUCGACUCCGUGAAGUCGGAAUCGCUAGUAAUCGCGGAUCAGCACGCCGCGGUCGAAUACGUUCCCGGGCCUU